rnacentral:rRNA from 1 species
UACGGGGGGGGCAAGCGUUGUUCGGAAUUACUGGGCGUAAAGGGCUCGUAGGUGGCCAACUAAGUCAGACGUGAAAUCCCUCGGCUUAACCGGGGAACUGCGUCUGAUACUGGAUGGCUUGAGUUUGGGAGAGGGACGCGGAAUUCCAGGUGUAGCGGUGAAAUGCGUAGAUAUCGGAAGGAACAUCAGUGGCGAAAGCGGCUUCCUGGACCAGUACCGACGUUCAGGCACGAAAGCGUGGGGAGCAAACAGG